ensembl:lncRNA novel transcript
AGAAAACAAAUUUGAGCAGAAAACGGAAAUGACUUUUUUUUUCGUUUUCUGUGAAUCAGCUGUUGCGAAUUUUAAAAAUCAUUUAAAAUUAUUUAAACAAUUGAUUUUUACACGUGGGGAGUAUUUGUUAAUUAAUGUCAUAUGAUCCAUGAUUUCCUAUGCACCAGAAUAUAGUAUUAUUCAGAUAUUUUAUUUUGGUUUCUGUAUUUUCAUAAUUUAUGUCAGUUCUGAAAUGCUUAAAAACAUACUUUUUCAAUAAUAAUAUCAAAAAACUCUCAAUGAAUAACACACAUAUAUAAGGUGGCAAUUUUUUAAAAUUAUCUAUUUGCACUUACUACACCAAAUAAGACAAAUCACAAUAUUAUAUAAUUAUAUACAUGGGUUUAUUAUUAUCACAGUAGUAAGAUUAAAGUAUACAGCACAGUAAAAUGAUUAUCAUGACUUCUAUAAUCCUUAGGCAUAACAAGCCUUUUUAUCAUUUUUAAGCAUAAUAAGGCCUUUAAACUCUAUUUAUUUAUACACAUUUGCAGGUGUGUGUAAAUAAAUAAUUUCCUACAGAAAAACAAUGUAAUCCUUGAGGUAAAGAUUUCAGAUGCAAUUGUUGCACUCUAGAUGUUUCCCUUUACACCUAUUUCAAAAUUGUAUUGGUCAGCUAUUACUGUGAAGCAAACAAACAAAAAUCUCAGUGCCAUUCAACA